UGUUGGUUGAGUCAUGAGCUGCUUGUUGGCCAAGUUCGACAGCAACUGUGCCUGUUGUGGAUUAUCUCGCUCAGUGGUAGGUGUCAGUGGAAUAAAUAGAUGUAUUUCAAGAGGAAAAGAAGCACUCUCAUAAACAGAUCUGAACACAACGGGGAGCAAAACGAUCAGCUGAGACCAGGUGAACCAUAGGAAGGUGUUCUUGAUGGCUGCUCUCCGACUGUACAACUCCUGUGUCCUGGAGGCAAUGCUGUGGCUGCUUGCUAUGAUCAGGAAGCCAUGUGAAUGCUUCUAAAACACCUCUCCAUGAGAGCAGCUAAACAUGGGGAGAACAAUCUAUGUAGCAGACCAUCUUAUGAUCCAGCCCCAUGUAGAAAAUCUUCACCAAGACCAUAGGCACCAACCCACUAUAAAGGGAUCUCAAAGUGACAAGACACGACAAAGAAAAUGUGUGUAUCUCAGAAAGACAAGAGACAAUGCUCAAAUCCUCACAUUUCUAACAAUGUGGCUGCAUAUUAAAGGCUAGGCUCACUUCCUUUAGGUACUGUUUAAGUAUGAGAAGGGAAAGAUCUAUAAGGAUAACAUAGUAUUUCAAGGCCAUUUUGAUUGAUAUGUCAUCUCCUGUGAAUUAAAGACCUUGUUUACAAAACUGUCUGAGUGAGAAAACCUGGCAUCUCAAGUGGUUCAGCAUCUCAAAAAAAAAAAAAAAAGCCUGACCAUGUAUGAAGAUUAGACAGGCGGCAGGGAGGAGAAAGGCUGCUUGUACGAUCCCAAAAGCAGGCCAAGCUAAAGCAAAAUAGCAGAGCUUGGAAGACUCCUGGCCGAGUUGGGCAUCCAUGCAAGAGUUGGCCUGAAAGGCUAGGAUGCCUUCCAGUGACACUGGAGCCAGAGAGAAACCAAAGCUUUCGCUGACCUUGGAACAAGGAUUGCAGCAGGCCGAACCAUUCUUCAAUAACUUCUCCAAUUAAUUUUGAAAAUGCAGUAGGAAAUGACCAUUUUUUUCUUUCUCCAUAAUUUAAAUAGAACAUUUAUUUGUUCCAAGCCCCUCUCUCUCUCUUUUAGAAGCUCAUUUUCUUUCCAGAUGAGACAUUAUAAUCUGCAGCAUCAACAUCAACAAUCUUAUGGAACCUUAAAGCUAACUAAUAUAUUAUGGCAUGAGCUGUUGCGGACCAGAGUCAACUUUAUUAGACAUGUUUGUCAUCUUCAGUAUGAAGUGUAUACAAGUACAGCUCUAUAGAGGUUAAGGCAAAUUGGCAAUGCAAAAAUCACACUCUAAGACAAAUCUAAAGCCUUAAAACAAAAUGAACACAGAGAAGAUUCCUAACAUCAGUAGUAGGUGCAAACACAAUCAUGUUAGUUCUUUCUCUUCAUGCUCAGAUGAAAAGAAUCAGCCUCAAUUCAGCUCUUUCAUGCUGGGGUUUCCAUUUUAAAUUCUUCUGCUGGAUGAGGGAAAUUUUCAGAUUACUUCAGUUUUUAAAACUGAAACGUUGCCCUGUUCUGUGGUUUUUUUAUUCUUGUUCUUUCUAAUGCCAAUUUAGGAUGCUUCAUUUAUGUAUGGAGAACUAUUAUUGGCAUGUAUAUUGAUAGAAUUACAUUUUUUUCUGUGUGACUUUUUCUUACUGAAUCGUGUAAAAAUGGCUCAACUGAUUAUCCUCAAAACUGAAAAACAUGUUUGGGAUGGUCUAAGCUGGCACAUAAUCUAUGCAGCGUAUGUAGUACACACAGAAUUCCCUUUGGAGAAGCCUGAAAUAUCCCAAUGUCAUUGAGGUUUUUUUUUUCUUGUUUAUACAUUCUAUAGAUUUAAAGGCCAAUUGGAGAAGCGCGGCCAGAUUUCCUGAAUCGCUAUAGGUUUCUUAAUUUACUUGUGGUUUAGUAUGAAAUAGAAAUAUGCAAAACUUUAGAUUGUGUGUUAUUUCUUUCCAUACAAAUUGGGAUGCGCGUUAUAACUUCAUUAAGGCACAGCUUUCAAUGCUUCCCCAAAGGAGAGAUUGCCUUCUUGAAGUCUCACCAUUAAACAUUCCCAUCAAAAUUAUGUUUUUUACAGGAAUUUGGCUAAAUUCUCAGUUACAAGGCUCAUUUUGCAGAGACACUAAUUAAUGGCCCACCACUUGGAAGUGAGGUGGAGUGGAAUAGGAUGACACCACGCAUUAUUCUGUUGGCAAGUACAUCAUUCUAGUAAUUAAUGUAGGUGUCUUUUAUAUAAAAAAAGAGAGAAUGGAUUAAGCAAUAUGGACAACAGAAGCUUAGCUGUUCCUAGUACUUAACAUAUUCCAUUGCUUUGCCUCUGCUUUGAAGCUCAUUUUCCAUCAAUGCUCUCACACAGCUGUCUUAAAUAUACAAAUGGAGUUUAUCAGUUGGAAAAGUAAAAGUUAUCAUCACAUCUGAA